AAUGCAAUUCCAAUCACAUGACAAACGUAUCGAGAGCCCCUCCACCACCAACACGUUUUUUCCCUCAUCUGUCGCCACAGUCUGCCCCUUUACAUUUCUGUCUGCCCCCUCCAGUAUGCCAGUCUUGAACUGGCCCUGUGUUAAGGGGAUUUUUCCCCCCAGUUUAAACUUUUACAAGUUAUAAAAGUCAAGACGUACAGUUUGAUGUUUUGUACUUUCAACAUUUUACCAGUAGAGGGAGCCAGAGCGGGAAAAGCUCCAUCUUACCCACUGCUUUUUUUUGUAGUCUCAAUCUUCAGUCCUUAUAUAUUGUUUCACAUUUUCUUCUUUCACCCCUCCAUUCAUUCUUACUCCUACUCCUAUUUCCUAAAUUUACGAUUCUUCCGUUCACUUCACAUGGUUUUAACCCUUCUCAUGCUUUCUUUUCAAUUAAUUUAGCUUUAUCAAACUCACUGCAUUUCAAGUUAUUUGAUCUUUUCUUGGGUAACGUGAUCCCCUUCACUCCCCUCUUGUCAGUUACUUGUUACAUAUUCCCUUUAUUAGGAUUAUUUGUCCUUCAUUUUCCACCUGCCAUUGUUCUACCUUUUCCAUCCUUCCCUUUCCCUUCCUUUCUUGUAAGAGCUUUCAAACUGAAGAUAAAGCCCUUUGUGUGCGUGUGUGGUGUGUGUGUGUGUGCGUGUGUGUGUGUGUGUGAGAGAGAGAGAGAGAGAGAGAGAGAGAGAGAGAGAGAGAAGCAGAUAGAUGCUAAGCAGCAGCAGCUUGUCUCCUCAGAGCUGAAGACAACCUGCAGGACAAGUUGGGUUUGCCUUGUGGAAUCCUCGGACCAUUCUGUUAUCUUCCACAGCUAAAUGUUCAAAGGGAGAAAAAGCAAAAGAAAGGGAUGAAAACUUAACUUCUUUCUUCAGAAGACGACUGGACAUUAUUUUGCGUUUUCUAAAUCCAGAAGACAAGAAGAGGAAGGAAAGAAACAUGAAGUACAAAUGAUCUAAAAUACAACAAAGCUCUUGUUGAAGUCUCUAGGAUGCAAACAAAAGAAAAAACUGAAGACAAAAAUUAUUUAAAAGAAGCACUGAUGACAAUAAAUUGACCACAACAAGUCUGUGUUGGUUGUCUCUGCAACGAGAAGUAGAGACAGAUUUUGGGUCAUUCUGUGUUUCUGUAAACAUCUAAAAAUUACAACUCAACUGGCUCCUAUGAAAGAGGAAUAUUUCAGGAGAAACUGAGAAAAAGCAGGAAUAAAAAGAAAACUGAACAAAUAAAACAGGAGAGAAACAAACAUGAAGAAGCAGCUCCUUUGGCUUUUUGCAGCUUUGUUUUCCAGCCUCCAACCCGCUCACCCCGUGGCCCCAGCAGGCAGCUUGGUCCCGGCCCGGGUGGAACGUUGGGUCCGUUCUGGUCUCCAGCUGCUGCAGUGGACCCAGCUGGACCGCUGCCUCCAAAUGUCCUCUAUGUCUGAGGCAGAUUGCAGGCAUCUGGUGCCUCUGCCGCUGUCGUCUGUGGCUGUCUACGUUACAGAACUACGAGCUGCUGCAGGUCCUUUGGACAAAGUUGUUGCUAUCCUACCAGACUUUUCCAACAUUGUACUCGACUCCAAGUUACAACGAGGUUUUAACUUUGAAAAGAACAGAGGUCAAGCUCCACACAGACACCAGCAGCCUCUUCAGGACUUCACGGUCCAUGAUGCUGUGCUGGUGCUUGAUCUCAACCCAGGGCAAAACUUUGGACACCCUGUUAUUCUUUUCUAUGUGGAUAUGAAUGUGACGAAGAAGAGAUGUUCCCACCUGGAUGGCAUUCACCUGGGUGAGGAGUGUUUGACACUGGCUCUGAGGGGUCGCUGUCAAAACCAAAUGAAGCAUCGCCAUUUGAGUCCUGGGAGAUUAUUUGGUACAAACCGGUUUGCAGGAAGAAUGCUACGUGGUGAGAUUGGUGGCCGCCUGCUAGAUCGAGCCAUGAAAGGGUUCUGUGAAGACCACUUCCUACCGCUGGUGGUCACAGUUGGAGACAGCAGCCACACUCAGAGACUUGGCUGUUUUGACCAUGCAGAGUUUGCCAGGUGUCCCGAGACGGUUUCCAUGAGCUUCCCCAGUCUGCCCAUCUCAAGCUGUGAACUGAAUAAAAACACCAGACGCUGCCACCAACAGCCAUUGGCCACCCACCUGUCCUGUCGCCUUUACCAAACAUGUGACCACGCUGUGCUUAUCUCAGGUGGUUGGCAGCCUCAGAUGACAUUCCAGUAUCAUGCUCUAAAUCUUCAGAAAUUCUAUAAAAUGCUCCGAAACAACGGCUUUCCUAAAGAUCACAUCAAGACUUUCUUUGCCAACAGAGGACAUCUUCCUGCUGAUAUAGAGGGUGUGUAUUCAGCAACGGAGAAGGCAGUGAUCCGCAGCCAUGUGUCCUAUAUCUGUCGUAAGCAGCACUGUGCUGACACGCUGGUCCUGUACCUUAACUCACCAACAUGCAGUGACGGGACAAUGCUGCUGUGGGACACCAACCUGAACGGCAUUGUGAGCUAGACACACACACAUAUGCACACACACAAAUGCAUGUUGUGUACAAGGGCGCCUCCAAGGGGUGGCCAGGAGAGGCCAUGACAACCCCAGAAAAGUGCUGACACCCCCCCCCCCCCCCCAGGAAAAGUCAGUUUUAAUAAAUAAUAUUGAUGUUCAGUCAAACCAAAUAUUGAUCUUGUUUAUUCAAGACAUAAUUGUAAAACAAAAUGAAAAUAGUACAAUUAAUAAGUAAAGAAAUAAUCAGAAUAAAUAAAUACAUAUGUUUUCCGCUGCUCACCAUUUUAAAAAAGUUUUUAUCUCCUUAUCUUUUUUUCGUAAACACAGCAACAGGCGAGUUAACCUAAAAAUAAAAUUGUAAAUUAAAUUUGGAAUAAAAUUUAAAUAAUUGAAAUGUACUUUUCUGAAAUGUUUGUGUUUGUAAAAUUUAAGUUAAAUGUUUGGAUAUGUACUGCUUUUUUAAUAAAUAUGAAUAAAGGAGCAAUGCAGCACAUUGCCACAGGUUAAACUCUCCCAGAGUUACCACAAGGUUCAAUUUACUGUGCCACCACAAAAAUUUGUUUGACCCCAUCUGGCCACCCCUAUCAAAUUUUUCUGGAGGCGCCCCGGUUCUGUAGAAAAACACAUUUUAAUGCAUUUUUUGUCCAAAAUAAAAUGCUAAACCAACAUCAGCUGCUUCACAACCUAAAGUGGACCUGGCCACCAGACUGGACGAGACCCUGGAGCAGGGCCGUGCAGAGACCUUUGAAGAGGCGGGUGCUCAAAGUUAAAAAAGGGGCACAUAUGGAGCAAAAUUUUUAAACAUAUUCACGAUCCAACAAGUUUGAAAAUUCAGACAAUGAGACCCUUGGGUUCAAACAACAUAAUGAACUAGGAAAAAUAUUUCAUAUAGUGUCAUUAAUUGAAGGUAAUGUUAGUUCAUAAAUAAUUGUUUUAGUUUUUAAAGCUGACGUAUAUCUAGAGAUGUUACAAACACAUCUCUGGCCCUGAUCUGAAUCCAAGUUUGAUUUUUAAUUAUCUUCCAAUACUGAGUCCUGUUCUGAUACCAGGUGGUAAUGCCAUGCAUUACAAAAGAAGAAAAAAAUGGAGAUGUAGAGUUAGGUUUGGGUGCUUUUUAAGCUCAAUAUACUACACUACAUUUGACCAAUAAGAUGUGAAUUUCUAUAUAAAUAUGGAAAUCCAAUCUGAUUGAUCUUUGAACGUUUAACCAGAAGAAUUAGAAUUCUUUGUUCAUUCAGGGAUCGUAACACACUUCGUAUUAAUUCAGACAGAGUCAAGUCUGAGUGGGAGUGAAUUUGGUCUGCUAUAAACUAUAAGUGAUGGAGCCUGAAUCUCAGCCAAAGUUCCAAGCUUACGACUCAUCUCAACAAUUAUAUGAGUUUGUGUGUUUACAGCGCGAUGCAUUCCAUCCCUGAGCUCCGGGAUUGAGCCAAUAUUCCUCGAAAGCUUGUUAAUUUUCCGGUAAGCCAGGUAACCGCUCAGGCCAAACAGCAGGAAUCCUGCCACCAAAACUACGAAUAUCCAAACAUCUUCAGAAUCCUCUGCAGACGGUUGAGAGAGGAAGAUCAUGUUCCAUUGUUUCCAGGAGUCCAUGAUAUACCCAGCUGGAUCUGUCCCAGAGGGGUAUCCAGGAGACCCUUCUCCCGUUCUCAUCGUUGAAAAAAUUUUGUCAAUUGCGUUGAGAGACCAACUGACCAGAUCCAUUUUGAAUUUCCAGUUUCUAGAAAAAAUGCAGAAAGUGCCGUGCACACAAAGACAGGACAAAGAGCCUUAGGAUGAGGAGGGAGUGAGAGGAGAAAUAAAAAAGCGUCUGUACUCUCCAAGAGCCGGAAGAAAGCUGCAGCUGCAUUCUGCUCACGGCCACAGUAACAUUUUCUAAGUUUCUAAGUGGCGUCACCAAAAAAUAUAUAAUUAACACACAGUCAUUUGUGUCCGCUCAUUUUCUCUCUGGUAAGUUCUGUCUGUGUUUGAGCAUGACGUGUGGACGCGCCCGCGCUGCAGCGCUCGUCACUGGCUCAGCCGGGCAGCGCGGCGCACACUCCGCUUUUUUAGCGGUCAAUAGAUCAAUUUGAUCUGCUAGUUAAAAAGUUACUUGUGAGGUGAAAAAGAAGGAAGCAGGCAGGAGUUUUUCUGGAGGACUGGGAGAUGCAGGAAGAUCAGAGACACAGGACAGGAAAACAGGAAAAUAAAAACCAAGAAAACAAAAUAAAGUUCUUAAAAAAUAAAAUGUAGGUAGAUUGAUCCCACUACACGUUUGUACCUGUAUAAAGCAGUAACUUAUCAGCAUGUAGUAUUUAUAUAGUUGAUACGAUUCAGAUCAUCUUCAAAACUCUGUCCCAUGCCCAGGGGCGUAUCUAAGAAUAUUGGGGGCCGAGGCAAAAUAGACCCCCUGCCAGGUAUUUUAAGUUGAAGUGCCAUCUGUUUUUAUAUUAGACUUUUUAUAUUUGCAAUAAAGUCCAAAAGUGAAGAAUUUGUUAUUUAGUAGUUUAUUGUUCAAGCUACCUCACAGAAGUGAUCUGUUGUUAAAAAUUAAAAUAAAAAGGUAAUUAAAUAAAAAAUAAGAAACAUUCUGGAACAGUUUCUUCCUUUUCUUUCUUUUUUUUAUGUAUGGAAAGUAUCGGAUCGGGACUCGGUAUCUGCAGAUUCUCAAAAUCAAAUGGCUCGGACUCGAGGGCAAAAAAACCUGAUCGGGACAUCCCUAGUAGAUAGAUUGCAAAGGGGGUUAUGGGAUAGAGAAGGUGUCGAGAUUGGUGCUGAAAAAGUAAAAGACUUUUAUCUGGAGAGGAAACCUACACAGUUCACAAACCUGCAAGGGUAAAAUUUCCAAGGAACCGGGUUUUUGUUUCCGGAUCCCUGAAGCAGUUCCAGGCGGACUUAUGCGACAUGCCUUUUAAAAUAUUAACACAGUUGUGUUACAGAGUGACUGUCCCAGUAAAAAUUACUAUACAACUGCAAACAUCAACCCAAGAUGGGUCAGAGAAGAUGAAGAAGACUUCUAUGAACCAAUGCAAUCAUGGAGAUGACUAUUGCAGAUGCUUUUUUUCUCCCCUUACAGCUCAGUUGUAGCAUUUCCCCUCAUUUGCUAUCUCCCCGGCCAUGCUCCGGUGAUUUUCCUCUAGAGCUGAAACAACUAAUCGAUUUAAUCGAUUAUAAUCGAUUAUUAAAAUAGUUAACAACUUUUUUAGUCAUCGAUUAGUUGUUUAAUACUCAUAUUUUACCGCAUAAAGUCUAUUUUUUACCACAAUCUGACAUCGGUUACAAUCUGUUAAAUUUGCCGCCAGUGUGUGGCAGUAAUAAGCCACUGAUCUACCAGUGGGGCCGUAGAAGAAGAAAUUAGCCAAUAAGUGCCCUCGGUUUUCAUGACGUAUCACGUUACUGACGCGCAUCUUGCUGUGAGAGAUGGCGGAUCAACAACAAAUACGGAAGAAAAAUAGAAGCGACAAAACAAGAGAAACCCCGGACAAAAACCUCACGAGUAUGGGAGCACUUCACUAGAUGCCUUGAAAAGACCGGUGACCUACAAAAUAUGCAAAAACCAUGGCACGACGGAAGCAUGACGUCCCUAAGUGAACAUUUGAGAUGAAAACAUGGGGGCUGAUGCAGCAGAGGAAAGUCCGAAAAAAACAAGCAACGAUGGACAACUACAUGGGGAACAAGACACUCACCCCCCAGCAAUGCAUACCACUUACAAACUCUAUUCUAGAUUCUACAUUAUUUUUUAUGGAAUUUACCUCUUAUAUUUUGAUGCCAAAAAAUUAUUCUGGACUGAUAUUUUGCACUGUUUAGCUCAUUUUACACUGCUGACUGUGGUCAUGUGCAAUAAAAUAGAUUGCAGUCAACUGCACAAUUC